GUGAGAAAUAAAGAAGAAAUGGUUUAAAGGAAAGAAAAGAAUGGGGCCAUAGAGGGAAGGAGCUUCCCUUCCUUCUUUUUCUUUUUCAUUAGGAUUUUGAGGAUGAAAAAAAGAGAGAUGAGAGAUUUAGAGAGGGGGUAGAUGGAGAGAGUUCAGCGAGAUAGAGUGGUAAAAAAUAAAGAAAAAAUGAUUACGGUGGAGAGGAAGAGGUAAGGAC
rnacentral:lncRNA from 1 species